CCCUUAGAUGUCCUGGGCCGCACGCGUGCUACACUGAUACGUACAACGAGUAUUUGCUGCUCCGAGAGUAGAAAGCGGCUAAUCUGCAAUACGUAUCGUGCUUGGGAUAGAUUAUUUUGAAAUUCUGAAUCUUGAACGAGGAAUUCCUAGUAAGCGCAAGUCAUCAGCUUGCGUUGAUUGCGUCCCUGCCCUUUGUACACACCGCCCGUCGCUCCUACCGAUUUCGAGUGGUCCGGUGAACAUUUAGGACUGUCGAGCAAUCGCGAAUUAACAGGUGAACCUUAUCACUUAGAGGAAGGAGAAGUCGUAACA
rnacentral:rRNA from 1 species